ACUCGAGUGGCGAACGGGUGAGUAACACGUGGGUGAUCUGCCCUGCACUUCGGGAUAAGCCUGGGAAACUGGGUCUAAUACCGGAUAGGACCAUGCUUUAGUGUGUGUGGUGGAAAGUUUUUCGGUGUAGGAUGAGCCCGCGGCCUAUCAGCUUGUUGGUGGGGUAAUGGCCUACCAAGGCGGCGACGGGUAGCCGGACUGAGAGGUUGGUCGGCCACAUUGGGGCUGAGAUACGGCCCAG
rnacentral:rRNA from 1 species